UUUCUACUCUCCCGUCCCAUAUUAAGUGUCGAAAUAUUACAUGUAUCUAGACGCUUUUUAGGUAUAGAUACAUGCAUAUUUAGAGAAAUUUAAGUCACUUAAUUUGGGACGGAUGGAGUAUUUC
rnacentral:pre_miRNA from 1 species